rnacentral:rRNA from 1 species
UUCUUAACGAAAUAAUUUUAAGUAUAAUCUGCUCCAUGCAAAGUAAAUAGCCGCAAAUUUCUGUGCUAAGGUAGCAUAAUCAUUAGCCCCCUAAUUAGGGGCUAGAAUGAAAGAUUGCACAAUUUAUUUUCUUUUUUCGCCUGCCCUAUAAAAUUUAUAUUAAAUAUAAAAAUAUAUUUAUAAAAAUAAAAGACGACAAGACCCUAUCGAACUUUACUGCAGUUAAGCUGGGGCAGCUAAUUAAUUAAAAUUUUAAUUUACUUCACACCCCCAAAAGACCCGUUUUAAACGCAAAAUGAAUAAGUUACCGUAGGGAUAACAGCGUAAUAUUUUCUAAAAGCUCUUAUUUAAGAAAUUGCUUACGACCUCGAUGUUGAAUAAUACCCCAUUUGGGGUAAAUCCCAAAUAAGGAGGUCUGUUCGACCUUUAAAUAAUUACA